rnacentral:rRNA from 1 species
UACGUAGGGGGCUAGCGUUGUCCGGAUUUAUUGGGCGUAAAGAGCGUGUAGGCGGCCGAGUAAGUCCGGUGUGAAAACUCGAGGCUUAACCUCGAGAUGUCAUCGGAAACUAUUCGGCUAGAGUCCGGAAGAGGAGAGUGGAAUUCCUGGUGUAGCGGUGAAAUGCGCAGAUAUCAGGAAGAACACCAAUGGCGAAAGCAGCUCUCUGGGACGGUACUGACGCUGAGACGCGAAAGCGUGGGGAGCGAACAGG